CCACGCACCACCUCAAUUUCUGCCGUUGCACACAGCAGUCUCUGAAAUGAAAAUAUCCUGUUUCAAACAAAGUUGUUGGCACCUAGGCUGAAAGCAGCACCAGGCUAUUGGGUAAUCAGAACCACUGAAAGGCAUUUGCAACAUUUCAAAAAUAAAUUUAAUGAAGAGCAACAAGAAGAAUGACUGCUUCUCUGGUAAAUGUGUCCAAGUGUCUGCUAACAUUCAGGGAUGUGGCUGUGGAGUUCUCAAUGGAGGAAUGGGAAUGUCUCAACUAUUCCCAGAAGACAUUGUAUAGAGAUGUGAUGAUGGAAAAUUACAACAAUCUACUCUUUGUGGAUUUCAAGAUCUCUGAGAAAGAACUCAUAGGAUGAAACUUAAGUUUAAAGGAUGAAAAACAACUUUGUUUCCUUUGCCAGUUGAAGCAAUGCUGCAAAAGGUGAAAACCAAGGCUGGAGUUAUUAAAUACCUAAACUACAUUUGUCUGAA
rnacentral:lncRNA from 1 species